GCUUUAUCGUGCCCAGACCCAAACCUAAUCACUCACGUCGUUUCACAUCUCUUCCUCUUCGAUUCAACUGAGCGAUGAUGCUGCGGUGGAGGCGAUUAAGAUCUGUAACGCCAGGGCUGAGCUCAAGCCUCUCCUUUUCGAAGGAUCUCAAAGGACGAGACUGGUGUCAAGAAUGAUCUUUAUGAUUUCUUACAGGCUUUUUUCAAAGGACAUCCAAAAUAUGCAAAUAACGAUUUCUAUAUCACUGGUGAGUCUUAUUCUGGCCAUUACAUCCCGACUUUGGCUUCACGAGUUCACAGUGGAAACAAGAAUAACAAGUAAUUAUGAUUAUUCUAUUUUUUUCUUAAACAGGUUACUGCAUUAGAUAACAACCUGACCUCCAAGUA